UCUUCAUUUCCCACACUCUCUUGCUUCUCUAACCAGUGAGAGAGUGUGGGAAAUGAAGAGA
rnacentral:pre_miRNA from 1 species